rnacentral:rRNA from 1 species
GAUGAACGCUGGCGGCAUGCCUUACACAUGCAAGUCGAACGGCAGCACGGGAGCAAUCCUGGUGGCGAGUGGCGAACGGGUGAGUAAUAUAUCGGAACGUGCCCAGUCGUGGGGGAUAACGCAGCGAAAGCUGUGCUAAUACCGCAUACGACCUACGGGUGAAAGCGGGGGAUCGCAAGACCUCGCGCCAUUGGAGCGGCCGAUAUCAGAUUAGGUAGUUGGUGGGGUAAAGGCCUACCAAGCCAACGAUCUGUAGCUGGUCUGAGAGGACGACCAGCCACACUGGGACUGAGACACGGCCCAGACUCCUACGGGUGGCAG